AAAGAAUUAAUUUAACAGCAAAAUAUAAAAUGUCAUUUUAAAACACCCUUCAGGUAUUCUUUU
rnacentral:tRNA from 1 species